UAGAAGUUUGAUCAUUGGCUCAGAAUUGAACGCCUGGCGGGCAGGCCUAAACACAUGCAAAGUCGAAGCGGUAGAGAGAAGCUUGCUUCUCUUGAGAGCGGCGGACGGGUGAGUAAUGCCUAGGAAUCUGCCUGGUAGUGGGGGAUAACGUUCGGAAACGGACGCUAAUACCGCAUACGUCCUACGGGAGAAAGCAGGGGACCUUCGGGCCUUGCGCUAUCAGAUGAGCCUAGGUCGGAUUAGCUAGUUGGUGAGGUAAUGGCUCACCAAGGCGACGAUCCGUAACUGGUCUGAGAGGAUGAUCAGUCACACUGGAACUGAGACACGGUCCAGACUCCUACGGGAGGCAGCAGUGGGGAAUAUUGGACAAUGGGCGAAAGCCUGAUCCAGCCAUGCCGCGUGUGUGAAGAAGGUCUUCGGAUUGUAAAGCACUUUAAGUUGGGAGGAAGGGCAGUUACCUAAUACGUGAU
rnacentral:rRNA from 1 species